rnacentral:rRNA from 1 species
GAGGGACCCGCACAAGCGGUGGAUGAUGUGGAUUAAUUCGAUGCAACGCGUAGAACCUUACCUACCCUUGACAUGUCCGGAACUUGCCAGAGAUGGCUUGGUGCCCGAAAGGGAAUCGGAACACAGGUGCUGCAUGGCUGUCGUCAGCUCGUGUCGUGAGAUGUUGGGUUAAGUCCCGCAACGAGCGCAACCCUUAUCAUUAGUUGCUACGCAAGGGCACUCUAAUGAGACUGCCGGUGACAAACCGGAGGAAGGUGGGGAUGACGUCAAGUCCUCAUGGCCCUUAUAGGUGGGGCUACACACGUCAUACAAUGGAUGGUACAAAGGGUCGCCAACCCGCGAGGGGGAGCCAAUCCCAUAAAGCCAUUCGUAGUCCGGAUCGCAGUCUGCAACUCGACUGCGUGAAGUCGGAAUCGCUAGUAAUCGUGGAUCAGAAUGUCACGGUGAAUACGUUCCCGGGUCUU